rnacentral:ncRNA from 1 species
UUGUGUAGAGGUCGCGGUUAAAAAGAGUAUAAUUCUGGAUAACUUGAAUUAGAAGAAGGAAUUAAAAAGGGUUAACUGCCGAAGGGUGUAUUAGUUCAAGAUUAUACCCCCUGGGUGUAUAGAUAAUAUCUAUAUAACUGUCAUCGAAAGAUGGGGAGCUACA